UUUAUGGAGUAACUUGUAUAAAACUGAAACGUAAACAAAAUCAGUUGUCAUUUAUUACAGCAACAACCAAAGCCAUGACUCAUGUCGGAAAAUUCCGGGGAACUGAGAUAUGAUUAUAAUCACGCGCCGUCAAAAGCGCGUGUGUAUCAGUGUAUGAUAUGUGUGAGAGAACAAGAGACAGUAAUCUUCAAAUGAGAAAAACCAGAAACAGAGAAGAGAGUUGUCAAAGCUGGGAACUUAUAAACUUUAUUUUAAUGUUCGUUUGCUACAUUUAAUAAGCAAAAGGAUCCAACUAAAAAGAGUUAAAACUUACCCUCGAAGAAGAAGAAGAUGAGGU